AUGCCAACGUUUCUUCCACUUUAGUCAACUCUGGGGUCUUUAGAAAGGAAUUCUCCACUCACUCCCCUGACGUCUUUCUUAAGACAUAGCAAAUUUCCCAUCACUAGAAAUCAUCAUACAGACACAAGAGGUUAAGAAUGUAUAGAAGAGGGCUAGGAGCACUCUGAGGGUUCUCUAGUACUGAGAUUCUAUGAAUAAAUUGUCCCAAGUGGAAUAAAAUGGGCUCUGGUUCCUUCUGGCCCUUCCUGAUGCAGAGACAGUGAUUCAUUUCCUGGGCUUUCCAGUUCCUCUUUCUGAGGCUGCAUGGUGAUAACUUUGCAAGAAAUUCUCGUGGAAUGAUCAAGGGAAUUAAGAGUGGAGCUCAGCUCUUUAAGAGAGAUUUUCUGAAGGAGAUCUCAGGAUGGUGUCCCUUGUUACCUCUAAAUGCCACUUCUGCUAAUCGUGUCACCAGCUGGGCACUUUAGCCAAUGUCCUUAUGAAAGGCUCCUCCUGUGAGAACCCAGGCAGCUAAGGCAACCAGAAGGGUCUGUCCACAUUCAUUCACUCAUUUGUGAAACCCUUAUUAGGCAUUUCCUACAUGUGGAACAUAAUAAAUAUUGGGAUGACCCCAUAUAGUUGUAGGCCACUAUGAUCCCUGCCCCUCUUCAAUAUCACUUCAUUCUUUUUACAGCACUGGAUGCACCCAGUGGGUCACCAUUUACAACUCCCGUGGUGUACCCAGAGCCUGGAGACUCCACAGCUAAUGAAUGCAACUUGGAGAUCGUUACAUUGAAUUUCACCAUAACCAACCUAUUGUGCAUAGCAGACAUGGAUCACCCAGGCUCUGGGAUUUUCAAUUUCACCGAGAGAUUGGUGCAGCAUGUGAUCCAUGAAUCGUGGCUCAGCAACAGCAGUGGAUGCUUUGUGGAGCCAACAAUGGGAGCCAAACAAUACCGCUCAAGACAGACAAAAGUUUUAUUGGGAAAUCAGUGACCUGACCCAAGGCACCACCAGACUGGGCCCAGACACUCUAGACCAGAAUGAUUUCUACCUCGAUGGUGAGAUUCCUCACUGGGGCAACAAUUAACCCAUUUCCCUCAACAGUAAGAUCCGUUUUGAGAUGAAAGUUCCAACAUUAAUAUCGUUUCCUUUUAUCACUAUUCUGAUGUAGGCCCUGGCCCUCACCAGAACACUAGGUUGCCAAUCCUCCCUUGUCCAGCCAUCUGCACAAAAUGGGCCAUGCCCAUACCUAUUUCCCUGGUUACCUUGCCCCAUUCCUCUUCAUUUUAUGAGUUGUUUCCAUAAGUGCCAGCUCCU